CAGUAGCCGCGGGAAUACGAAGGGUGCAAGCGUUAAUCGGAAUUACUGGGCGUAAAGCGUGCGUAGGCGGUUUGUUAAGUCUGCUGUGAAAUCCCCGGGCUCAACCUGGGAAUGGCAGUGGAUACUGGACGGCUAGAGUGUGUCAGAGGAUGGUGAAAUUUCCGGUGUAGCAGUGAAAUGCGUAGAGAUCGGAAGGAACAUCUGUGGCGAAGGCGACUAUCUGGGCCAACACUGACGCUCAGGUGCGAAAGCGUGGGGAGCAAACAGGAUUAGAUACCCCUGUAGUCCCUGUCUCUUAUAC
rnacentral:rRNA from 1 species